rnacentral:sRNA from 2 species
AUGUACGGGCGCAGGAAGAGGUAGCCGCCUAUUAUCCAGACGAGGCGGAUGUAGUCGCGCAGUGUCAGGGAAGAGAGGGAGUUGGAGAGAUUGGAUGUUAGGUUAGUGUACCAGGUUUGGAGGGUGGCGAGGAUGGAGGAUGGGUCUAACGUGGCCAUUGUUGCUGCAGCGGCCUGAGAUGGAAUUUGUGCGUUUUAUGUGAAGGUUGCCGUUUGGUAAAAUUUGUUGUUCGAGGUGGUGGAUGGAUUUUUAGCUGAUUGGGAGGUUUGAGAUUGGUGGUUGCGGAGAGGUGCGAGGGUGAAGGGUCUUCGAGUGGUUACGUGGUUUGCAUAGUGCGGGAAGACUGGGGUUCCAAAACGAUUGGCUAUACCUCAUUGAUGGGAUAGGCGGUCAUACUUAGGUAUUUGGAUAUCCCUGG